UGGAGUUGAAUUUGGAGAAAUGUUAUAUUCAGGAGGAGGGGAUCAAACGAUUGGCCCCUGCAAUCCACAAGUGCAAAGUUCUAAGGCUGAAUGACAAUAACAUUGGAGAUACAGGAGUCAACAUUUUGUCUGCAUCAUUGGCUCAUUCGGAAUGCAAAACAAAGCGAUUGGAUUUGCAGGAUAACAAUCUGACAUUUGCUUGCAUUGAAGACCUGAGGAUGGCAUUUAAUCAGAGCA